rnacentral:rRNA from 1 species
GAGGAAUAUUGGUCAAUGGGCGCGAGCCUGAACCAGCCAAGUAGCGUGCAGGAUGACGGCCCUAUGGGUUGUAAACUGCUUUUGUAUGGGGAUAAAGUCAAUCACGUGUGAUUGUUUGCAGGUACCAUACGAAUAAGGACCGGCUAAUUCCGUGCCAGCAGCCGCGGUAAUACGGAAGGUCCAGGCGUUAUCCGGAUUUAUUGGGUUUAAAGGGAGCGUAGGCUGGAGAUUAAGUGUGUUGUGAAAUGUAGACGCUCAACGUCUGACUUGCAGCGCAUACUGGUUUCCUUGAGUACGCACAACGUUGGCGGAAUUCGUCGUGUAGCGGUGAAAUGCUUAGAUAUGACGAAGAACUCCGAUUGCGAAGGCAGCUGACGGGAGCGCAACUGACGCUGAAGCUCGAAGGUGCGGGUAUCGAACAGGAUUAGAUACCCUGGUAGUCCGCACAGUAAACGAUGGAUGCCCGCUGUUGGUACGUGGUAUCAGCGGCUAAGCGAAAGCAUUAAGCAUCCCACCUGGGGAGUACGCCGGCAACGGUG